rnacentral:lncRNA from 1 species
ACUGAGCUCUCUCGGUCUCUUCCCCUUGGAGCCGAAAUCUUUCGGUUUUCUUCCUCAGAACUGGGAUCCCUGUGCCGUCCCCGGACUUGGGGUCUCUCCGUCUCCUCCCAUCAGCUGAGAUCUCUCCGCUUGUUCCCCUCGGAGCUGAGAUCUCUCUCCCAUCUUCUCUCGCAGCAGAGAUCUCUCUUCAUUAGGAGCUGAGACCCCUCUGCUUCUUAAGCUCCGCUCUGCCCGGGCAGGUGGCAGGGGGGCCCGCGGCCAGCCUCGGAAGAGAAGGCAACGACAAAGUCACCGCCCUCCGCCUUCCUUGCCCCUCCCCAGCUUGGUCUGCCGAGGGCCAAAGCCGGGAAUCAGGGGGAAUGGCCCCUGGGAGCCAGAGACCUUCGUCCCAGGAAUCAGUGACAUUCAAAGAUGUGGCUGUGGACUUCACCCAGGAGGAGUGGUGCCUCUUGGACCAUUCUCAGAAAGAGC